rnacentral:rRNA from 1 species
AUUGAACGCUGGCGGCAGGCCUAACACAUGCAAGUCGAGCGAGCGGCGGACGGGUGAGUAAUGUCUGGGAACCUGCCUGAUGGAGGGGGAUAACUACUGGAAACGGUAGCUAAUACCGCAUACCAUCAGAUGUGCCCAGAGGGGAUUAGCUAGUGGGUGGGGUAAUGGCUCACCUAGGCGACGCUCCCUAGCUGGCCUGAGAGGAUGACCAGCCAGACUGGAACUGAGACACGGCCCAGACUCCUACGGGAGGCAGCAGGGGGGAAUAUUGCACAAUGGGCGCAAGCCUGAUGCAGCCAUGCCGCGUGUGUGAAGAAGGCCUUCGGGUUGUAAAGCACUGUCAGCGAGGAAGCGGUACGCACAGAAGAAGCACCGGCUAACUCCGUGCCAGCAGCCGCGGUAAUUC